ensembl:snoRNA
ACUGAUCAAUGAUCGAAAACUUACUGUGUGGACUGUUGGAUGAAGCUUACGGAUAUGGGACUGAGAUCAGAU